rnacentral:rRNA from 1 species
UACGUAGGGUGCAAGCGUUGUCCGGAAUUAUUGGGCGUAAAGAGCUCGUAGGCGGUUCGUCGCGUCGGCUGUGAAAACCUGAGGCUCAACCUCAGGCCUGCAGUCGAUACGGGCACACUUGAGUGCUGUAGGGGAGACUGGAAUUCCUGGUGUAGCGGUGAAAUGCGCAGAUAUCAGGAGGAACACCGGUGGCGAAAGCGGCUCACUGGACCACAACUGACGCUGAGGCGCGAAAGCUAGGGGAGCGAACGGG